rnacentral:rRNA from 1 species
CUCAACUGACGCUAAUGCUCGAAAGUGCGGGUAUCGAACAGGAUUAGAUACCCUGGUAGUCCGCACGGUAAACGAUGGAUGCCCGCUGUUGGCGAUAUAGUGUCAGCGGCCAAGCGAAAGCGUUAAGCAUCCCACCUGGGGAGUACGCCGGCAACGGUGAAACUCAAAGGAAUUGACGGGGGCCCGCACAAGCGGAGGAACAUGUGGUUUAAUUCGAUGAUACGCGAGGAACCUUACCCGGGCUUGAACUGCAGGAGAACGAUUCAGAGAUGAUGAGGUCCUUCGGGACUCCUGUGGAGGUGCUGCAUGGUUGUCGUCAGCUCGUGCCGUGAGGUGUCGGCUUAAGUGCCAUAACGAGCGCAACCCCUUCCGUCAGUUGCCAUCACUUUGGGUGGGCACUCUGGCGGUACUGCCACCGUAAGGUGUGAGGAAGGUGGGGAUGACGUCAAAUCAGCACGGCCUUUACGUCCGGGGCUACACACGUGUUACAAUGGGUGGUACAGAGAGUCGGCCGCAUGCAAAUUCGGUCUAAUCAUGAAAGCCAUCCUCAGUUCGGAUUGGGGUCUGCAACCCGACCCCAUGAAGCUGGAUUCGCUAGUAA